rnacentral:rRNA from 1 species
UACGAAGGGUGCUAGCGUUGUUCGGAAUUAUUGGGCGUAAAGAGCGUGUAGGCGGCCAAACAGGUCAGCUGUGAAAACUCGAGGCUCAACCUCGAGACGUCGGUUGAAACCGUUUGGCUAGAGUCCGGAAGAGGAGAGUGGAAUUCCCGGUGUAGCGGUGAAAUGCGCAGAUAUCGGGAAGAACACCCGUGGCGAAGGCGGCUCUCUGGGACGGUACUGACGCUGAGACGCGAAAGCGUGGGGAGCGAACAGG